UAUUUUAAUAAAUGUGAAUAAUAAACGAGUUAAAUUUGCUAUUAUAGAUCAAGAAAGACGUGAAGAGUAUAUCAAACGGGGAAAAGAAAAGAUAGUGGAGUAAAGUGCAAAAUUACGAUAUUUUGCACCGAGUGACUUCCAACAACUCGGAAAUUGGAACGAAGUCAGACAAUCAUCUACACUAUCCUUCACAUUUGGGGUAUUUUACUACUAGUGUUCCGAAAUUUUAUGGCAUGUAUAGACAAUUUAUGUAAUGUGGGAUCAUCAUGUAAAUAUAUGUUAUGGUUCCCUUUUAAAUGUAGUGUUUAUUAAUAGUUAAACUAUAUGUGUGUUUAUACAAAUGAAA